rnacentral:lncRNA from 10 species
GGGUCUUGCUGGCCCUCGGGGAGGAGGCCCUGGACUCCAGGGCAGGGACAGGGAGUGGAAGAAGGGAGGAGGGCAGCUGAAAGUCACUCUCUCCUGCCUAGCUCUGGUCUGUGAUUUGUGCAUACGGAAUGGUGGACACUGAGCUUCUGGGCUCACUGCCCUGACCACCAGGGUGUCCCUGGGAGCUCAUCAGGCCCGGGGGCCUAGGUAGUCAUCACCUGGGACUCACAGGACUUCGGCAUUUGCCCUCUGGACAAUCUAGGUGUGCAGAAAUGGGAAGCCGCUCCCGGCCUUGCUCAAGUCCCUAGUCUGUUGGCUGCCAUGUGGCCCGUGGAAAUGUCCAGGAGUGAACAUUGGCCUCAGCCUCUGUCCAUUGGCAUUGCGUAGAUCAGGGUUUCUUAAUCUUGGCACUAUGGAUGUUUGGGGCCACGUAACUCUUUGUUGUGGGGGCCGUCCUGCACACUAUGGGGUGUUUAACAGCAUCUCUGGCCUCUACCUGCUAGCUGCCGGGAGCACCACUCUAGCUGCAGCCAUCAAAAAUGUCUCCCGAUGUUGCUGAAUGUCCCCUGGAGGCAAAAAGGCCCCAGCUGAGACCUGGUGAAAAUGGCUGGACUGGAUCAUGUCAGAAUCUUCCCAGCUAGUGGGAUAAAGCUCAAGGGCUCCUUGCAGAAAGCCCCCACUGAAUGUAUGGGUACCAGAUUGCAAUUGCAAAGGUGGGGUGCAUUUCCCGAAAGCCAAGGGGGCAAUCCCAGUAUCUCCAUGACAGAAGACAUGUCCCUGACCAACGCUGACCAUCCCAGGGCUCUGGAGCCUCCAAUCUAGAGGCCAAGGGCACGGAAGCAGUGAGGAUGUCCUUGGAGAUGCCUAGAGUGAUAAAGCUGCAGCCAGUGGACCUGUGACCUGCUGUGAUGGGAAGAGCCGGGAGCACCUUCUAACCAGCUCCAGCUUUUACCACUUCCCACCUCUCCGUCUUCUCUUCUGUCCUCUUCUUUCUCCCUCUCUCCCCUUCCUUUCUUCCUUCCGUCCUCCUGCCCUCCUGUCAUCCCC